AUGGAUACGGUGGAAGCUCGACUAGGAAGCUCAGUCAAGAAAGAGAUUCGGGUUAGGCGGAAAUGGCAUAUCCAGGGCACGGCGCAGAGGAUGUUCCGGUAUUGUAAGAUAGGAACGGGAGUGAAAGAAUGCAUUGGACGAAAGAAGAGGUUAGAACCAGCUCCACCGGCUAAAGGGACAUGGACUCUUCAGAAGGCUCAGACCAAUUCAACAAGAUUCGAAGAUGCUCUAGGUAGAGGUUCGAAGAGACUGAGCCAAGUAAAGAUAAAUUGUCCGGGCCAAGAAAGCAAGCCAAGCCGGGAAGGCAUAGAGUCGCCCCCAAGAUGA